AGAAAUAGUGCCAGGAAUGUUUAUUGUCACGUGCAGGCUCGCAAUUCCUGGACGGGUGGCACAUGCCAGGUGCUUGUUGUGUCUUGGGAUUUUUCAAUGAGAUGUUUCCGUGCUGUCGGCACUGCAAUUGCGGCUCCAUCAUUGAGUGUCUUGCCCUUCUGGUUUUCUUUCAUAAUCUCUAUUGCUUCAGUUGGUGGGGUUUGCGAUUUUCUUGGAACUGGCUUUAUUAUGUUGUCUCUGUUCCGGUGCACUGUGGUGUCGUUGCUGUGGGCUUCUGUGGCUGGUGUUGUGUUGGUGUUGCCUUUCUCUGUAUCUCUUCUAUGUUUGUCCAGUCUCUGUUUGAGUAUUCUG
rnacentral:lncRNA from 1 species